rnacentral:rRNA from 2 species
UGAACGACUCUCGGCAACGGAUAUCUCGGCUCUCGCAUCGAUGAAGAACGCAGCGAAAUGCGAUACUUGGUGUGAAUUGCAGGAUCCCGCGAACCAUCGAGUUUUUGAACGCAAGUUGCGCCCGAAGCCUUUUGGCUGAGGGCACGUCUGCCUGGGUGUCACUC